AGAGUUUGAUCCUGGCUCAGGAUGAACGCUAGCGGCAGGCUUAACACAUGCAAGUCGAGGGGCAGCGGGGAGGAAGCUUGCUUUCUCCGCCGGCGACCGGCGCACGGGUGAGUAACACGUAUGCAACCUGCCCCUGUCAGGGGGACAACCCGCCGAAAGGCGGGCUAAACCCGCGUACAUGCCACCGGGGCAUCCCGGAGGCAGGAAAGGCUUCGGCCGGACAGGGAUGGGCAUGCGGCGCAUUAGGCAGUAGGCGGGGUAACGGCCCACCUAACCGACGAUGCGUAGGGGUUCUGAGAGGAAGGUCCCCCACACUGGUACUGAGACACGGACCAGACUCCUACGGGAGGCAGCAGUGAGGAAUAUUGGUCAAUGGUCGGGAGACUGAACCAGCCAAGCCGCGUGAGGGAGGAAGGUACAGAGUAUCGUAAACCUCUUUUGUCAGGGAACAAAGGCGGGGACGUGUCCCCGGAUGAGUGUACCUGAAGAAAAAGCAUCGGCUAACUCCGUGCCAGCAGCCGCGGUAAUACGGAGGAUGCGAGCGUUAUCCGGAUUUAUUGGGUUUAAAGGGUGCGCAGGCGGUCUGUUAAGUCAGCGGUCAAAGCCCGGGGCUCAACCCCCGGCCCGCCGUUGAAACUGGCAGUCUCGAGUUGGAGAGAAGUAUGCGGAAUGCGCGGGGUAGCGGUGAAAUGCAUAGAUAUCGCGCAGAACUCCGAUUGCGAAGGCAGCAUGCCGGGCUCCACCACUGACGCUGAGGCAGGAAAGCGUGGGUAUCGAACAGGAUUAGAUACCCUGGUAGUCCACGCAGUAAACGAUGAAUGCUGGCUGUCCGGGGGGACUGACCCCUGGGUGGCGAAGCGAAAGCGAUAAGCAUUCCACCUGGGGAGUACGCCGGCAACGGUGAAACUCAAAGGAAUUGACGGGGGCCCGCACAAGCGGAGGAACAUGUGGUUUAAUUCGAUGAUACGCGAGGAACCUUACCCGGGCUCAAACGGGGAGUGGCGCAGGCAGAGACGCCUGUUUCCCACGGGACACUCCCCGAGGUGCUGCAUGGUUGUCGUCAGCUCGUGCCGUGAGGUGUCGGCUUAAGUGCCAUAACGAGCGCAACCCCCGCGUGCAGUUGCUAACAGUCAACGCUGAGGACUCUGCACGGACUGCCGGCGCAAGCCGCGAGGAAGGCGGGGAUGACGUCAAAUCAGCACGGCCCUUACGUCCGGGGCGACACACGUGUUACAAUGGGUGGUACAGCGGGAAGCCAGGCGGCGACGCCGAGCGGAACCCGAAAUCCACUCUCAGUUCGGAUCGGAGUCUGCAACCCGACUCCGUGAAGCUGGAUUCGCUAGUAAUCGCGCAUCAGCCAUGGCGCGGUGAAUACGAAAGCGGGCCUUGUACACACCGCCCGUCAAG
rnacentral:rRNA from 1 species